GACGAACGCUGGCGGCGUGCCUAAUACAUGCAAGUAGAACGCACAGUUUAUACCGUAGCUUGCUACACCAUAGACUGUGAGUUGCGAACGGGUGAGUAACGCGUAGGUAACCUGCCUGGUAGCGGGGGAUAACUAUUGGAAACGAUAGCUAAUACCGCAUAAUAUUAAUUAUUGCAUGAUAAUUAAUUGAAAGGUGCAAUUGCACCACUACCAGAUGGACCUGCGUUGUAUUAGCUAGUAGGUGAGGUAACGGCUCACCUAGGCGACGAUACAUAGCCGACCUGAGAGGGUGAUCGGCCACACUGGGACUGAGACACGGCCCAGACGCCUACGGGAGGCAGCAGUAGGGAAUCGUCGGCAAUGGGCGAAAGUCUGACCGAGCAACGCCGCGUGAGGGAAGAAGGUUGUCGGAUCGGAAAGCUCGGUUGUAAGAGAAGAACGGGUGUGAGAGUGGAAAGUUCACACUGUGACGGUAUCUGACCAGAAAGGGACGGCUAACUACGUG
rnacentral:rRNA from 1 species